UUCAUGACAGAUGUGACCAAAUUUAUAAGUGGAUGCAUGGCAUGCCUUUCUGCAAUGGUUCAACUUGAACUACCUCAUGUUAAUAUCCUCUCAAAGAUGGACCUUGUGACUAACAAGAAAGAUCUUGAUGAGUAAUCACUGUCACUAAAUUUUCUUUCCCAAAUUUGUUGAUAUUUUCGUUCAUUCAAGUUUUAAUAUACUUUUGCUCUUAGUUUUUUGGAUCCAGAGCCCACCCUUUUACUGUCUGAAUUGAAUCAAUGGAUGGGUCCUCUAUGCAAAGCUGAAUAAAGCUUUGACUGAAUUGGUUAAUAACUAUAGCAUGGUGAGUUUUAUACCACUAGACUUGAGGAAGGAAAAAAGCGGAGAUAAUUGAGCUCGUGCGUGUGCAUCAUAGACUGGUGUUGGAUAUCUACCA